rnacentral:rRNA from 1 species
AGACGUCUACAUUAGAUACCCCCCGUAGUCCUAGCCGUAAACGAUACUCGCUAGGUGUCGGCCACGGUGCGACCGUUGUCGGUGCCGUAAGGAAGCCGUGAAGCGAGCCACCUGGGAAGUACGGCCGCAAGGCUGAAACUUAAAGGAAUUGGCGGGGGAGCACAACAACGGGUGGAGCUUGCGGUUUAAUUGGAUUCAACGCCGGAAAUCUUACCGGGACCGACAGCAACAUGAAGGCCAAGCUGAAGACUUUGCCGGAUUAGCUG